CUACGGGGGGCACCAGUGAGGAAUAUUGCACAAUGGGGGGAACCCUGAUGCAGCAACGCCGCGUGGAGGAUGACGCAUUUCGGUGUGUAAACUCCUUUUAUAUGUCAAGAAAAUGACGGUAGCAUAUGAAUAAGCACCGGCUGAACUCCGUGCCAGCAGCCGCGGUAAUACGGAGGGUGCAAGCGUUACUCGGAAUCACUGGGCGUAAAGGACGCGUAGGCGGGUUGGAAAGUCAGGUGUGAAAUCCUACAGCUUAACUGUAGAACUGCACUUGAAACUUCUAAUCUAGAGUAUGGGAGGGGGAGAUGGAAUUAGUGGUGUAGGGGUAAAAUCCGUAGAUAUCACUAGGAAUACCUAAAGCGAAGGCGAUCUCCUGGAACAUUACUGACGCUAAGGCGUGAAAGCGUGGGGAGCAAACAGGAUUAGAUACCCCGGUAGUC
rnacentral:rRNA from 1 species